ACAGACUGCUUUUUAAGUGUAUUUAGAGCCCCACAGCACUUUAGCAUUAGGUGGCAAGGCUUCCUGGAGCUCAAGUUCUGACAACUGGGAUCAGCAAUUCUCUGGCUAGGGCUGGUUUUACUACUCCCUCUGUGGGUUGGCAUCAGCUGAGUUUGGUCUGAUUUUGCUUUCUGCUAUAACAGGUCAUCACUGAGAUUUAUACAAUAAAACCAGGUGAGCACUUGGGAUAUUUCAGAUGUUUCCCUGUUGUAAUGAAGCUUUUUAAAAAUGCUUUGCAAGUCUUUGGUUGUUUUUCAGUGACCCUCCAGAGGACUAAAGGAAAGUUUUGCUUCGCCCCUACAGUUUUGGCACUGUGAGCAGUAUACCAAAACUACUCCACCCUUCCGAAAGCCACAGUGAAGAAAACCCAAGGCCUGACAAGCCAGCAGAAGUGCAAAAAAGUUUUACCAAUCAGGUCAUUAGCCUCUAGCUCUGUGGAAUCUGGUUGAGUUCAUGACUGAUAGGUGGGAGGAACUUGCCUUGAGUCUCAAAUGAGAUUGGACUUUGAACCUUCAAGUUGAUGCUGGAAUGACUUAACAUUUUUGUGGACUAUUUGGAAGAGAUUAUUAUAAUUUGCAAGAUUGAAGAAAACAUUUUUAUCCCAGCUAUGUAUAGCUUACAACUGGGUAAAGUACACUUUUCUGUUCAAAAUUGAAGAGCUUCCUUUUCUCUCUAUCUGAUUUUCUCAUAAUUCAAAAGUUAUUUGUGAGUAUUCUUAUUUUAUGGCAAUAUAGUUAUUUGCAUAAAUACAUUAGAAUCUGUUUUCUUUUGUAACAGGACACAACUGAAGACAAUACUUAUUUUUACCAAGGAUUUGAUUGGAACUUUAUACUUUAAAAUGUGAUCAGACUGCUUUUAAUAAUUGACAUUGACUUUAUAAAGCCAAUAGAUGUAGAAAAAGACAGCUUGUACCUUGUCUACAUGGCUUUUUUUUACCGGACUCCUGAUCUUGUCGUAAGGAAAGAAUGUCACUUUCUAGCAGGUGAGAACCUCAAGAUCUAUGGAAAACUCCAAGAAAAAAAAUUUACCCAAUACACACAGGCAUUACAGGCACAAUCUGUUAUGAAAUCCUUGGCUUGGCUCUUCAGGCUCAAGAGGCUUUUGAAAGUCUAACUUGAGACAGGAGGUGGAGUAAGAUGGCUGAAUAGAAGCCAGCAGCAAUUAUCUUACUAUAGUCACACCAAAGUGAACAAUUGUACACACAAGAAAGCACCUUUAUAAGAACCAAGAAAGAAUCAGGUGAGUGAUCACAGUAUUUGGUUUUAACAUAAUAUCAAGGAAAGAGUAACUGAAAAGGGCAGAAAAGACAAUUUUGUAUUGCCUACACAAUCCUUCCCCCUUCCCCAAGGAGCGUGAAAAGAG
rnacentral:lncRNA from 1 species